GGUGGUGCAUGGUUGUCGUCAGCUCGUGUCGUGAGAUGUGGUAAGUCCCGCACGAGCGCAACCCUCGACCUUAGUUGCCAGCAUUCAGUUGGGCACUCUAAGGUGACUGCCGGCUAAAAGUCGGAGGAAGGUGGGGAUGACGUCAAAUCAUCAUGCCCCUUAUGACCUGGGCUACACACGUGCUACAAUGGGCGGUACAAAGGGUCGCGAACCCGCGAGGGGGAGCCAAUCCCAAAAAGCCGCUCUCAGUUCGGAUUGCAGGCUGCAACUCGCCUGCAUGAAGCCGGAAUCGCUAGUAAUCGCGGAUCAGCAUGCCGCGGUGAAUACGUUCCCGGGCCUU
rnacentral:rRNA from 1 species